UACGUAGGGGGCAAGCGUUUGUCCGGAUUUAUUGGGCGUAAAGAGCGUGUAGGCGGUUCGGUAGGUCCGUUGUGAAAACUCGAGCUCAACCUCGAGACGCCGAUGGAAACCCCCGAACUAGAGUCCGGAAGAGGAGAGUGGAAUUCCCGGUGUAGCGGUGAAAUGCGUAGAUAUCGCUUGGAACGCCAAAGGUGAAAACAGGUUGCUGGGGUUGUGCCGACGCUGAGGACACGAAAAAGCCCAGGG
rnacentral:rRNA from 1 species